GACGAACGCUGGCGGCGUGCUUAACACAUGCAAGUCGAACGAUGAAGCUGGAGCUUGCUCUGGCGGAUUAGUGGCGAACGGGUGAGUAACACGUGAGAAAUCUGCCCUUGACUCUGGGAUAACUGCGGGAAACUGUAGCUAAUACCGGAUACUUUCCCUGGUGGGCAUCCACUGGGGAAGAAAGAAUUUCGGUCAAGGAUGAUCUCGCGGCCUACCAGCUUGUUGGUGAGGUAAUGGCUCACCAAGGCGACGACGGGUAGCCGGCCUGAGAGGGUGACCGGCCACACUGGGACUUGGACACGGCCCAGACUCCUACGGGAGGCAGCAGUGGGGAAUAUUGCACAAUGGGCGCAAGCCUGAUGCAGCAACGCCGCGUGAGGGAUGAAGGCCUUCGGGUUGUAAACCUCUUUUAGCAGGGAAGAAGCGAAAGUGACGGUACCUGCAGAAAAAGCACCGGCUAACUACGUGCCAGCCGCCGCGGUAA
rnacentral:rRNA from 1 species